GGUUUAGAACGUCGUGAGACAGUUCGGUCCCUAUCUGCCGUGGGCGCUGGAGAACUGAGGGGGGCUGCUCCUAGUACGAGAGGACCGGAGUGGACGCAUCACUGGUGUUCGGGUUGUCAUGCCAAUGGCACUGCCCGGUAGCUAAAUGCGGAAGAGAUAAGUGCUGAAAGCAUCUAAGCACGAAACUUGCCCCGAGAUGAGUUCUCCCUGACUCCUUGAGAGUCCUGAAGGAACGUUGAAGACGACGACGUUGAUAGGCCGGGUGUGUAAGCGCAGCGAUGCGUUGAGCUAACCGGUACUAAUGAACCGUGAGGCUUAACCUUACAACGCCGAAG
rnacentral:rRNA from 1 species